GCAAAAUCUUCCUAUUUACAAUAAUGCUCCUUGAACGACGAAAUAUACCAAUUAAUUAGAUAGCCUGUUCGUUGUUCGGCAAUUUGACUUUCCUCCCGUAGACUGAAAUCAUACAGAGAAAUCAAACACCCACUUUAGAAGAGUCUGGCUUUCCGGUGAUAUCUCACCGGAGAUUAACUAAAUCCCGGCGUGAUUCUGCCACACAAAUUUUUCCUUUUUUUCUUCUUCCCCUCUGGUGUAGCGCCGUGAUUCACCGGAGCCGAAAAAACAUGUCGAAUUCCGACACAAUUUCAAUUGGUAUAGCAGCAAAUGACGAUUCCUAUUCAGUUAUUCCCACAAUUUUUUCGCCUGAAUGUGAUAAUAAUAAUGUGAAUGAUGACAACAUCGCCGGAAGUUCUGAGGCUUUAGCUGAGGGUAUUUCUACAAUGCUCGCUGGUGUGAUUAGGGAUUUUGAUUCCAAAGCUGAGGAUGCUUCUCGAAGCCAAUUUCAGCUCAUUUCUGCUCUCGAUCGUCUCACUUCUGGGUUUUGCGAUGCUUGGAUAAUUCAUUUCAUGAGGCGGGAUGCGGUUUGUUUACCUAAGGUUGAAGAGCUCGAUCAGCUAUUGGAGGAUGCACCGUUGCCAUUCAUCAUGCAGCAUGCCACUAAACUUUCUAAUGUCAGAAAAAGAGUAUCAUCAUUAAAUUUACUCUUAAGAUCUGUACAACAUCGUCUUGAUAAUAUCGACCGUAUGAUGUCUAUUGGCUCACUUGAUAAUAAAUCAAAUGUAGGAGGCUCCAAGUAACUCCAAUGUCCACAUUAGAAGGUUGGUUGCUACUGUUAGACUGUUAGUGCUUGCUUUGAUUUGAACCAUGUCAUGAAAGCAAGAGAGGUCCUAUGCACAUGUACAUACAUGUAUUCCAUCAGUCGGCCUACUUGAACGAUCUGAACUAUUGGAAGGACUGAGGGCAUGUAAAAUGUGGUCGCACAUGAUACAAUCAUCUAGAUUCUGGAUGUUGUAUUAGCAUUCAACCCUCAGGGAUUUGAUUAUAUACAUUCAGCUCUUCAUGCACACUACUAACUCUCGGUGGAGCUUGAUUUGAUUUAUGUACACAGCUGGGUGCUUUUCUCUUCAGUUGAGAGUUUAAGCCGGAGAAAUGAAGUAUGCAUUCCAAGGCCUGGGGUUUGAUUUUUCCUGUUCAGUGUUUCUUCCUUGUGGGAACUUUUGGUUGUACUUUUGGGGGUUUGUUUCUUCCUUUUUACUAUCCUUGUGAAAACUUUUGGCUUUCGAUGUUUGUCAGAAGAUUCUUGUAUAAUGAUCACUAUAUUUAACACAAUUCAAAUCAUUCCCCUGAAGAGAAGUCACUGGCAUGAAGAACCUCUUUUUUGUUUUUAAUUUUUUGUAAGGCACCGAUGAAUUCGAGUUGUUUUUUUAUCCUGGAAUGGUGAAACGUCUAAAAAGAUGGCACAUACUUCCUCUGUUUCUAAAUGUUUUUUCCCAUUUGUCUUUGGCACCCUUGCCAAUGCACAUUUUAUAUCGUUAAUAUUUUGAACUGCGUGUUAUCAAAAAUUGUAAAAUUUUCAUAUUGUUCAAGUAUUUAUUGAGACGAAUUCUGGAUUUUUUUGAUA